rnacentral:rRNA from 1 species
UCUGGUUGAUCCUGCCAGUAGUCAUAUGCUUGUCUCAAAGAUUAAGCCAUGCAUGUCUAAGUAUAAACUUUUAUACAGUGAAACUGCGAAUGGCUCAGUAAAUCAGUUAUGAUCUACCUGACAAAUUUCACUACUGGAUUUCCGUGGUAAUUCUAGAGCUAAUACAGUGCAUUCAAUCCCUUGAUGUUUUGAUGGGGGCACUAGUUAGAUUCAUAAGCCAAACCGCCAGGGCAACCUGGUAUUGCUUAGUCAUAACUAUUAAGCUGAUCGACCGCAAGGUCGACGGUUCAAUCGAAUUUCUGCCCUAUCAUUUGCUUUGUUGGUAGGAUAGAGGCUUACCAAGGCAGCAACGGAUAACGGGGAAUGAGGGUUCUAUUCCGGAGAGGGCGCCUGAGAAAUGGCGACCACAUCCAAGGAAGGCAGCAGGCGCGCAAAUUACCCAAUCCCAAUACGGGGAGGUAGUGACAAAAAAUAACAAUGCCGGGUCAUUUUGUUUGGCCUGGUAAUUGGAAUGAGUACAGCUUAAAUCCUUUAACGAGGAUCCAUUGGAGGGCAAGUCUGGUGCCAGCAGCCGCGGUAAUUCCAGCUCCAAUAGCGUAUAUUGUGAUUGCUGCAGUUAAAACGUCUGUAGUCGAAGUGUAGGGCAGGAAAGGACCGGGUUGGCCAUUCAUUUGGUCUGACCCUUGUACGCCGCCCUCUAUCCAGCUUUUGCCAGGCUUAGUGAUUCGCGUUCACUGGUCUGUCGCCGAAGAGUGACUGGAGUUUACCAUGAGCAAAUCAGAGUGUUCAAAGCAGGCUUUUAUGCCUGAAUGUUAAAGCAUGGAAUAAUACAACACGCCGAGUGCGUUAGUUAUUGGUUUCUAGCGCCCGAGAAUGAUGAAGAGGAACGGUUGGGGGCUUUUGUAUUUGGCCGCUAGAGGUGAAAUUCAUGGAUUGGCCAAAGACAAACUACUGCGAAAGCUUUAGACCCAGGACGUUUCCAUUGAUCAAGGACGAAAGCCAGGGGAUCGAAGGCGUUCAGAUAACGCCGUAGUCCUGGCCGUAAACGAUGCCGACUAGGGAUUGGAUUGGUUUAAAUAUACCAGUUCAGUACCUUAGCGAAAGCGAAAAAGUCUUUAGGCUCUGGAGGGAGUAUGGGACGCAAGGCUGAAACUUACAGGAAUUGACGGAAGGGUACCACCAGGAGUGGAGCCUGCGGCAUAAAAUUUGACUCAAUACGAGGAAAACUCACCAGGUCCAGACAUAAGAAGGAUUGACAGAUUGAAAGCUCUUUUCAGGAUUCUAUGGGCGGUGGUGCAUGGCCGUUGUUAGUUUGUUGGAAUUGAUCCUGUAAAUAGGAUGAAGUCUAAUGACAAACGAGCUUUCAUCCAAGGUUACCUGGGCUUGAUCCUAGGUUUCUUGUUUGGAGACUAUUGGCUUUAAGCCAAAGGAAGUUGGAGGCAAUAACAGGUCUGUGAUGCCCUUUGAUGUUUCUGGGCCGCACGCGCGCUACACUGACCAAGACAACGAGUUUGUUUUUCCUUGGCCGAAAGGUCUGGGCAAUCUUUUGAAACUUGGUCGUGCUGGGAAUUGAGCAUUGCAAUAUUGCUCAUCAACGAGGAAUUCCUAGUAAGCACGACUUAUCAGGUCGUGCUGAUUACGUCCCUGCCCUUUGUACAUAUCGCCCGUCGUUGUUACCGAUUGAGUGGUUCAUGGCGAGUACGAGAGACUUGUAGAAUACGGGCUGGAAACAGCCGACUUUAUGGGAAACUCGUGCAAGCUAUGCCGUCUAGAGGAAGCAAACAUCACAACAAGGUUUUCCGUAGGUGAACUUGCGGAAG